UCAGUCCAUAAAUUCACUUACAGCCGGUUAUCACUGACACUUCUGCAAUUUCUUGGCCAUGUAUUUAUUGAUUAAUUAAUUAAUGAUUUCAGAUAUUUCAACAUAUUAGAAACCAACACAGAGAAGAUGUUUUUGGCUUCCUCAGUCGUCAUGGUUACAUCAGGAUUAAUCAGCAGGAGUUUAUGUGAAGCUGAAGCGGAGGCGGAGACUGUGUCAGCGCGGUCGGCCUCGGUUGAUUCCCUCGGGUCUCAUUUGUCAGCUGACCUUGACGGCUCGCUGUGAUUAACAUUCGCUAAAUAGAGAAAGAAUGUGAGUGAAGCAGCUCAGGCACAAGAUGGCCGCCUACGUGGAUCAAGACCCGUGUCUACUGUACAUAUAUACUGUCUUUCUCCAGGAAAAAAAAGAAAGAAAUAUUAUGAUUUUUAAUUUUUACUGCACCUUUAAAACAGUCAUUACACUUGAAAACUGCAUUUCCCAUGAAGCAGUUGGGUCUUAAAACGAAUUUCAUUGAUUCAAUUCAGCCUGAAGCAAACGCAUGAUUUUUGUCUUAAAGUCAGUGAAGGCCUCGCGCUGCGUUCAUGUCAUAAACUGAAGCGGUGAAGGAUUUCCCAUGAUGCACCUGGGCGUCAUACUGUAUUAGCUUCUGUAGCUAGCUGUCUUUCUUUACAACCUCAAAAACAUUCAAUUCAGUCUAAAACUAAAGCAGUGAAGGAUAAUAUAUGAUAAAGACGGUAAAAGCCUCAUGAUUUAUUAGUUUCAGUCGGUAAAUAUGUUUUAAAAGAGCUAAACCCGAUUUACUCGUCAAGGAGGAGAUUUAAAAUGUAAGUUACGUAACCUCAGCGAUUCACGUAAGCCGUCAUCAAGUGCAGCUGCGUCAGUUCAGUCCAAUGAAGCAGAGCGGAAACCGCUAUUUGUCUUAGAACGUUUAAAUAACGUUUUUAAGGUGGGAAAAUGUCGUUAAACGUGUGUAUCGCGAGUGAGUGAAUGAGUUUUAACAUUUAGGUGAACGUUUACGUUGACGUUUUAGGCGUAAGUGGCGCAAACGCUGAGUCGUGGCGAGUUUUACGGUUGAAAACGGACGAAAAACCCGGGUUUAACUCGUUUAUUUUUAACGCCCGGUUCAUUCAAACUCAUCUGUGAGGUUCAACGCACUUUACACGCACACAUACAGCUGUUGGCGAUCGUGUGACGUCACGGGCCGGAGCCGCUGCAGACACUGUCUAACCUUCUGGAAGGUUCUGUAGAGUCUCUUUGAUGAGUGAAGGACAGCUGAGACAGAAGGUGCAGAGGAGAGAGAACAUGUCCAGAGGUCAAAGCCAGCAGCAGAGGAACUCAAGGAAAACACUGUCAGAGCAAGUGGGUGUGUUUGAUUUGUAUGUGUAAGGAGUGACGGGGGUGGGGCCUCAUGAUGACCAUGUAUGCAAGGCCGUUGAGGUGAUUGGUUACAAGAUGGUGGGCGGGGUCAAGGUUGCAGCUGAUGAGAAGAUUCAUGUUCGACCUCAUUUUCCUGAAACAACAAAUAUUGUCUUAUUACACCUGAAAUAUAGCAAAUGUUACGUGACAAAAAUAUGCAUUUUUGUAAUAAAGUUGUAAAGGCUAUAGGAGUUUUAUUACUUAACUGUUACAGCUGAGCCAUUAUGGUCUGUUCUGUAGAUUGGUGAUCCAGAUGUGGACAGGAGACACGAUGAAGUCAUGGAUGUAGAGUCAAGCUGUCCCACGCUAUAACGGCAUAGUGGAGAAGCAUCAUUAGUGAAAGCUGGCAGAGAUGUGUGUUGAUUGUUUCCGUUUAUACAUUGUCACUUUACACUGUGAUUAUAGUAGGUUGUUCACUGUUCUCCCUGUGAGUUUUUUUAUGUUAUGAUCUGGCGUGGCUUACAUAACAAUAACCUGCAAUGACUUUUAGCAGUUUUUCUACAUACAAUGAUGGUUACUAGCAUUUUAAGACAAACAAGCCUUGAUUUAAGUCAAAUGUAGCACAUAAUAUACAAUUAUACUGUGAUCUGGAGCAGGUCAUUGUUAUCAUUCAAUCCUCUAUGAUCUCUGUUUAUGAUGAUCACACAUCCCUGAACUGAAGGACACUUUAUCCAUCUGUCUGUAUGUGUCCAUACAGUGAAGGAGGCAAAACCCUGUCCUCAUAAAGUGUCCACACAUCAUCAGUGAUGAAAACAUGAGCUCUGAACGUGGACGUAUAAAUCACAUCAAAUAUUAAUGAAGAUCAUUUUGAAAAAUGCACUUUAGCCCGAGCCCACGUUUAUACAAACAAAUUAAUUCACUAGUUUUCUCUUCAGAAUUCACAAACACAAUGACGUGAGUCCAGGAGACGGGUUACAACAGUGGCCCGUUAGCAUCAGAAUUUGGCCCAGCAGAUGAAAAAUUUGACUUUUGUAAACAAAAGCAACGAUUAUUUCAUACAUAAUCCAAUACAGUAAAUUGUGUGUAAGAUUGACGAUUGUUGUGUGUCUUUUGCUGGACUAUGUUUGUACACCAAUAGAGGGUGCAAGACCAGAAAAGCACAGGAAGUUCUUCAGUUUAAUUUAUACAACUGUGAGAAACAGUGUCAUAGUUUCUUUGAAAGAUUUGCUGACAUUUAAAUAAUAAACCUGACUAUUUUCUCUCUGUUCAGACUUGAAGCCAGUUGAGUUUAAUAAAUGAUUCGAUCUUGUACAAAAGAGUACAUUUUGUAAAUGUAUUUGUGUGAAAACAAUGAUGUUGCGAUAACGUGUUAAUAACUCUUUAAGACACAAAUGUGUCAAAUAAGGAAAUAAAAUGUUAACACUGCUGUA